AGCAGCCGCGGUAAUUCCAGCUCCAAUAGCGUAUAUUAAAGUUGUUGCAGUUAAAAAGCUCGUAGUUGAAUUUCGGGAUCAAUAUGUCGGUCGUGCCUUCGGUACGUACUGGUAUCAUUGGUCUCUCCUUUCUGACGAACCAUGAUGUCAUUAAUUUGGUGUUAUGGGAAUUUGGACUGUUACUUUGAAAAAUUAGAGUGUUUAAAGCAAGCUAACGCUUGAAUACAUUAGCAUGGAAUAAUGAAAUAGGACGUUCGAUCCUAUUUUGUUGGUUUCUAGGAUUGACGUAAUGAUUAAUAGGGAUAGUUGGGGGCAUUAGUAUUCAAUUGUCAGAGGUGAAAUUCUUGGAUUUAUUGAAGACUAACUACUGCGAAAGCAUUUGCCAAGGAUGUUUUCAUUAAUCAAGAACGAAAGUUAGGGGAUCGAAGACGAUCAGAUACCGUCGUAGUCUUAACCAUAAACUAUGCCGACUAGGGAUCGGAUGAUGUUAAUUUUUAAUGACUCAUUCGGCGCCUUAAC
rnacentral:rRNA from 1 species